rnacentral:lncRNA from 1 species
CGGGAGCCGGACCUCGCCCCCGACUUCGAUUGCAGGUAGACUCCGUCCGGACUCCUACGAGAGCCGGACUUCGUCCCCAACCGAACUUCGGCCGGCGGGCCUGGACCCCCUGGCAGGCCGCAGUAACAGCCACGACCCUGCUCCACUUCCUGCGACGGAUUCCGCACGGCUCCAUCACUCCCUGGCAGGCCGCAGUAACAGCCACGACUCUGCUCCACUUUCUGCGACAGAUUCGGCGCGGCUCCACUUCCUGCGGCAGAUACCGCGCAGUUUCUCCACCCUCUGACAAGUCGCGACAACGGACGCCGCUCCACUCCCCACGACAGGCUCCACGUGGCAGGCCACAAUGAUGGCCACGAUUCCGCUCCACUAUCCUUCGUAGCAGACCCCUCCUGGCUCCGAACGGCCCACUGACAGACGGUUACAAAACGUUGCCAUCAGUCUGUUGCACCCUCCGCCUAUAAAAAGGGAACCCC